rnacentral:rRNA from 2 species
CUCCUACGGGAGGCAGCAGUCGGGAAUAUUGCGCAAUGGAGGAAACUCUGACGCAGUGACGCCGCGUAUAGGAAGAAGGUUUUCGGAUUGUAAACUAUUGUCGUUAGGGAAGAAAAAAGACAGUACCUAAGGAGGAAGCUCCGGCUAACUAUGUGCCAGCAGCCGCGGUAAUACGUAGGGGGCGAGCGUUGUCCGGAAUGACUGGGCGUAAAGGGCGCGUAGGCGGCUAAAUAAGUUUGGAGUGAAAGUCCCGCUUUCAAGGUGGGAAUUGCUUUGAAAACUGUAUAGCUAGAGUGUGGGAGAGGAUAGCGGAAUUCCCGGUGUAGCGGUGAAAUGCGUAGAGAUCGGGAGGAACACCAGUGGCGAAGGCGGCUAUCUGGACCAAAACUGACGCUGAGGCGCGAAAGCGUGGGUAGCAAACAGGAUUAGAUACCCUGGUAGUCCACGCUGUAAACGAUGGAUGCUAGGUGUAGGAGGUAUCGACCCCUUCUGUGCCGGAGUAAACACAAUAAGCAUCCCGCCUGGGGAGUACGGCCGCAAGGUUGAAACUCAAAGGAAUUGACGGGGGCCCGCACAAGCAGCGGAGCAUGUGGUUUAAUUCGAAGCAACGCGAAGAACCUUACCAGGUCUUGACAUCCAGAUAAAACCUAAGAGAUCAGGUGUGCCUUCGGGCGAUCUGAGACAGGUGGUGCAUGGUUGUCGUCAGCUCGUGUCGUGAGAUGUUGGGUUAAGUCCCGCAACGAGCGCAACCCUUGCGAUUGGUUGCUAACAGGUAAAGCUGAGGACUCCAAUAGGACUGCCGGGGACAACUCGGAGGAAGGUGGGGACGACGUCAAAUCAUCAUGCCCCUUAUGACCUGGGCUACACACGUGCUACAAUGGCCACUACAAAGAGGGGCGAAGUCGUAAGGCGGAGCAGAUCUGAGAAAAGUGGUCUCAGUUCGGAUUGUGGGCUGCAACCCGCCCACAUGAAGUCGGAGUUGCUAGUAAUCGCGAAUCAGCAUGUCGCGGUGAAUACGUUCCCGGGCCUUGUACACACCGCCCGU